rnacentral:rRNA from 1 species
GGCGAACGCUGGCGGCGUGCUUAACACAUGCAAGUCGAACGGAAAGGCCCUGCUUUUGUGGGGUUCUCGAGGGGCGAACGGGGGAGGAACACGUGAGUAACCUGCCCUUGACUUUGGGAUAACUUCACGAAACGGGGGUUAAUACCGUAUAGGAGAUCCUGCUGCAUGGUGGGGGGUGGAAAUUUUGGGCUGGUGGGGCUGGACGCGCGGGUUAUCAGCUUGUUGGUGGGGUAGGGGUUGACCAAGGCUGUGACGGGUAGCCGGCCUGAGAGGGUGAACGGCCACAUUGGGCCUGAGAUACGGCCCAGACUGCUAUGGUAGGCAGUGGUCGGGAACCUUGUCCAAUGGGCCCACGUCUGUUGAAGCAGCGCUCGGUGUGGGAUGCCGGCUUGUGGGUUGUGAACCGCUUUAGCCUGUGACGCCGCGUGCGUGACGGUACUGGGUAAAGAAGCACCGGCUAACUACGUG